rnacentral:lncRNA from 1 species
CCUAGGUGACUGCUCAAGCCAAUUGCGAAGAAAAAAUGCUGAUUUCCUUAUCUAACUGAAAUUCUUAUGGAAGCAAAUCUUGGAAAGUAUUUUAAAAUCCUAUGGCCAUCCCUAAGAAUUCACCAUGCAUUCCAAUACAUUCCUAAGGGUUUUGAGAGCAUAGGAGGCAAGAAAUGCGAAGAAUGACAUGAAGACGCGAAGAUUCCAUUCAUUGAUUGAUUGGGUGAUGUCAUUUCUUCAAUAUUUUUUUUCUUAUCUUAUUUCUACCAUGCUAGUCUAGAUUUUUUAUGGCCAAGAGAAUGAUGAGCCAUGUAGUAUGAGUUUUUAAUCUUGAGUUUUACAUAUUUGACAUUAAAGACACAUUUUUGAGUAUUGAAUAGUUUAUAUGAAUUUAUUUUCUUCAUUAUUAUUGUGCACGGUAAUUAUGUAAAUAUGAUGACUUAUUUUAUGCAUUCGAAAGAAGGAAAAUAAACUCGACAUGAUAUAAAUCGUCAUAGGGUCUGAUAGGGAAUAAAAUACACCACUAUGCUCUAUGUGAAUCUUUAAAUGUUCAUAAAAAUUCAUGCAUUCUUGUAUGUUCGCAUCCGUCAUAGAAAUAUGGUAGGAUUAUAUAUGAGAAUAAGUUUAACAUUAUUCGAGAAAGAUUGUUAAAUAUAAAAGAAACAUUGAUUUUUCAAUAUUCAACCGCGUUAUCAAAGUAUAAAACUAAGGUCAAAAAUGAUUAUUGCAUAGGGAUUCGCAAUCUUAGUACAUUUGCUAUUCAUUAGAACAUAUCAUAUUGCAUUUAGCGUAAUUCUGUAUUUAACUUAGUUAAUUCACUCAUAAUUACAUACGUAGUUUAUUUUAGUAUAAUUUCAUCACAAUAAACACAUUCUCAUCAUUCUUGUUUCGGAUAAGGUCAAUCCUUGUGGGACGAUCAUUGGACUCACAAUCCACUUUAUUACUUGUCAACGAAAAAAACACUUGCGGUGAUUUUACUUCAAAAUAUAUUUUUGUGAACACCCUUCUCACUAUGGUGUUAUUUUUACAUCCUCAGCAAAUGCUGGCAUCAUUGAUGAAUACAUUGAAAAGAGCAAGGCCAACAAGGUAGGUUUCAUUUUCUAUUGAUCACAAAAAAUUAAAAGUGAAAUUGCACUCUUUUUCAAUAGUAAAAUUUAGUCUUCAUCCUUUCUUUAUAUUUGCA